UACGGGGGGAGCAAGCGUUGUUCGGAUUUACUGGGCGUAAAGGGCGCGUAGGCGGCAAUUCAAGUCAUCUGUGAAAUCUCCGGGCUUAACUCGGAACGGUCAGAUGAUACUGCUUUGCUAGAGUGCGGAAGGGGCAAUCGGAAUUCUUGGUGUAGCGGUGAAAUGCGUAGAUAUCAGGAGGAACACCGGUGGCGAAGGCGGUUCUCUGGGCAUUACCUGACGCUGAGGAGCGAAAGUGUGGGGAGCGAACAGG
rnacentral:rRNA from 1 species